GUAUGACUCUGAAAAUGACUCUGAGCUCAUCUGAAAUGUCUUUAUUAUGAAGUGUUAGAAAAAGAAAGGAAAACUGGGAUGUGGAAGACAAGGAGAGCUGUGUGUGCUUCACCUCCUCUUGGACUGCGUGUGAAUGUGUUCCCUGGACUCACAUGGGGACAACGAUGGGAGAAGGCGAGAAGUGUGUUCCCUAUAGGCACAGCUCUGCGGCCAGGCACGACCAGCCCUCUCUCCUUCAGGCCCAAGCUCCCAGGAAGCAGCACAUGCCAAGCGGAGCAGAAGACAGUGGCAAAAGUCAGGAGAUUGCUCCUUUCUGGACUGGGCAGGACCUGCCCUCAAGUCAUGAUUUUAGGAUGCAGCCCAUUAAGUGACAAGACCAAGAACUCAGGCUGAACUACUGCUGAAAGGUGAAGGUCUUCAGAGAGAAGAGUCCUCUCCUCUGCGGAACCCUUGUCCACCUCUGGAGCAAUGUCCCACCUGGUCACUGGGUGAGGCUUUCCUUUCAUGACAUUUAGGAGAAAAGGAAACUGCUGUUGAAUACGGGAUGCCUGGGAUUUCUGUUUUAUAUUAGACUUUUUAAAUAUUUGAACUCUGCUUCAGGACGGAACAAAUUAGAGUUGAAACUGCAGGGUGGGACUCGUUCUUGAGCUUCCACCACUUCCAGAAAUCCAGGGAACCUUUGGGAGGAUAAGUGCCAGCACUAAGAAAAUGGAGGGGAAAUAUAGAGGGACAUCGGAGAGGGAAGGGAGAAAGCACCUGGAAAGGACCACAGCAGAAUGUGGACUUCAUCCCACAGUCUUACACUGAAGGAAAAAGAGCUACAAAGAAUAAUGAUCCAUGAAUUCUAGAGAGGGACACAUGACCUGCCGCAAAUGCAAGGAGAGAGAAACCUGCUGCAGCGCCAGUGGUGGAUGUGUCCUGCUGAGUCUGAUUGAUGGCGACAUAAAGAGUUUUUGAAGUUUUAUGCUCUGGCUGUACAGGAGAUGGACACGAAGUCCUCCGCAUGUGAAGCAUGGCCCAAGCGUUUAGGUGGUCAAUUGCCUGCUGAAUCCAAAGGCCGCCACUAAGACAGAGUCAAGUUUUUCGCGCUGUGAUGUAUUUCCAUAUGACCUUGCAACUAAAUUGAUUUUUGAUCCGAGUGGAGUCGUUUGCUGCUGAGGAGACAGAACGGGACCCGAAGGGGGCAAACACUGAAUCUUUUUGGCUUGACUUUCAGUCAAGGUAACUCGCGGGGGCCCGGCGGUGAUACAAGCAAACAUCUGCCAAGUGAAUCUGCGUGUCAAGGCAGGCGUUGUGGGCACGGCAGGGUGUGCAUCCACGGGGACACGUAUAUCAGCGUGCCAGGCACCACCCCGGUGCCAGGGGAGAGCAGGCACCAAGUGCCCCUUCUUUUUCACCCUCAUUUUUGACUGGAAAAUGCUCUCCAUGCACCCCUGGACCUGACCCAAAAGCUGUCUCAUGCAUUCAUUUGAAUGACAUGAAAACAGAGUCUUUAAUACAAAGCUUUUCCUACCAUUUGUGAAUGAUUUGAAUGAAAGAUGAGCAAACAAAAAAAAUCAGGAAAAAAUAGAAUUUUAAAUUUCUGAGGAAAAAUUCACUUCCACCUCUGUUAAUCACUUCCUUGGUUGUGUGGACAGCUUUCGAACUGUCAUCCAGUUUGCCUUUAAGAUCAUAAAUACUUCUGCUUAAUUCUCCUCCCCUGCCCCUGCGGGAAUUUUAAUAUAAAAAUUCACAUUUUCCCUUUCUUAUCAGAUUCAUUUCUACUGUUUGAAAUUGCUAAAAAACAAAUCAUAGAUAUUUGUACUUACAUAAUUAGAAAGCUGACUAGGUGCCUGUCAUAUCAGUGCUAGUGUUUACUGAAGACUCACAAUGUUAGACAGAGGGCAAGUCUGGGGGACGUAAACAAACAUCCACCUUAUCAGGACUUUUACCACUGAGAAAUAGAAAAUAACAUUUUUUUCUGUACCCUCUCCCCUCCAUUAUCCCUCAGAUUCUAUAUACUGUGCUCAAUCUUUAUAUAUUUUCUAAUUUUCAAUUUUUCUGGACACAGGUACAGUAACUGAGAACUGUCCAGAUGAUUUGUCUAAGCUGGAAGAGAGAGGUCUGGACUCUCAUGUCUGCCUAUACCCAUACGAGAAACUUCGUAAUCCUGAGCACUCCACAGGUUCCAUGGGUUGUUUUCCGGUGUAUCCUGUCUGAGAAAUGACUCAAUGCAAAUAAAACAUUCAACUUUUGCAGUCAGACUUGCUCUUUGGACUUACUUUGUCUUUCUACUGCCUUAAGAAGGCAGGAUUCUGUUCCCAAUAUCAACUGUGUUUUCCUCUGUUUCUGAGUUGGCUCUGUCACUUAAUGAAAGGUGUCCCACUGAGGCUUUUGCCCUAAUGAAAAAUGAGAUUAUACUCAUCAGAUUGGAACCAUGAGACUGUCAUCUAACUUCACAUCUGGUCAAAACAGCAGCUUGAAGAGCCACAAAGAUACACAUUUUGGAAAUUAGGGGAAUCUUGAAUUCUGUAUCCAUGCAAAUUCUGAGGCAGGGCCCAUUUGUACUUUCAAUACCAUUUCUUGCUAUAGUCUGUGUUACCAUGAAUCUUAAUUUAAAGAAUUUAUUCUCUGUCCUUGUAUGUCCUGAACAACAUGAAUAUACAUGCAGUAUACCCAUCUGUUAUAAAGAAAAGAGAAUCUCUUAAGUAAAUAAACAAUAAUCAGAUAUAGUGUACACUGAAGAGAUCAUAAGUUCAUCUGUUUACAAUACAGAUGUUUACAAUAAAGAUGGUGCUAAACAACCAGCUGACACCUUCCCUCCACCACUUCUAAUUUACGCAGCUAUUUCUACUGUAGAGAAAGUGCAUAUCACCAAUUGCCUUCUUUGUUUCAUCAAGAUAUAAAAUGAAAAGCAACUAGCAAUUGUUUUGUGGGUGGCUGCAUGGAUUAAAGAUCAACUAUAAAUUGAGAGGAGUAUCAAGUUCACAACACAGUUUGCUCCUUUUUGGAAACCACUAUCUGGUUUUGUUUUCAAAGCUGCCACAGGUUUUCAAUAGGAUUCUUGUUCUAAGAGCUCCACAUCAUUCAUCAGCCAGUACCUGCUGAAUGACUACUGUCAAAGUUAGUGUCAAAUUCUUCUGCAGACAUUCAGCUGGACUCCUCUACAGGGAUUUAGCUGUAAGGCUUGCUGGAGGAACGAUAUUAUUAACAGGCCCACCUCCCCCACUCUGGUUCUUUCAAACAACAGCUAUCCUAAUUACUCAUUUAAAAUUUUAGAUCUCCUCCCCAGUUCUGUAAGGUAUUUUAGAAGUUUUCUGCAUACAGUUAUAAUGUAUGUCUGCAGUCCAGGAAGACAGCUGACCAGCACGGUGGCUCUU